UGAGAAUUGAUAAUCCCAAAAAGAAAAAGCAAAAAGGAAGGAAAGAAGAAGUUUUAAAAAUCACGAGUUGUGAUCUGAUAUUAUUGGUACAGAGAGGUUGGAGGAAAUGAUUACAGCUGCUAGCUAAUGCUACUGCCAUGCCAACAAUAGCAUACUCCCAACUGCCUCGCUUUGACCUCUCUUCUCUCUCUCUUGUUUCUCUCUCUAGGAAUCGAGUACUAGUAGUACAUAGUAGACUAGUAUAGUAUGACUUCUGCUACAUACGCCAACA
rnacentral:lncRNA from 1 species